AGUGAACGCUGGCGGUAGGCCUAACACAUGCAAGUCGAACGGCAGCACAGUAAGAGCUUGCUCUUACGGGUGGCGAGUGGCGGACGGGAGAGGAAUACAUCGGAAUCUACUUUUUCGUGGGGGAUAACGUAGGGAAACUUACGCUAAUACCGCAUACGACCUACGGGUGAAAGCAGGGGAUCUUCGGACCUUGCGCGAUUGAAUGAGCCGAUGUCGGAUUAGCUAGUUGGCGGGGUAAAGGCCCACCAAGGCGACGAUCCGUAGCUGGUCUGAGAGGAUGAUCAGCCACACUGGAACUGAGACACGGUCCAGACUCCUACGGGAGGCAGCAGUGGGGAAUAUUGGACAAUGGGCGCAAGCCUGAUCCAGCCAUACCGCGUGGGUGAAGAAGGCCUUCGGGUUGUAAAGCCCUUUUGUUGGGAAAGAAAAGCAGCAGGUUAAUACCCCGCUGUUCCGACGGUACCCAAAGAAUAAGCACCGGCUAACUUCGUG
rnacentral:rRNA from 1 species